GUAGUGGACAUCCCAUGUGUUCUCCUUGCUGAUUUUUAUUUUUCUCUUGAGAUUCUUCUCCUCUUCUCUUCCUCCUCCAGAUAUUCUCUUCUUUUGGACCAUCCAAGGUUUUUGAAGAAGAAAGGAGAAAUCAGUCUCAAAGAUCCUUACAAGUUAGCACUUCUAAGGAGCCUGAUCUGUAUCGAUCUUCGUAUGGACAUUCUAUAGAGGUCGGAUGACUUUGUAUGGCUGCA
rnacentral:lncRNA from 1 species